rnacentral:rRNA from 1 species
GAUGAACGCUGGCGGCAUGCCUAAUACAUGCAAGUCGAACGAGAGGAAGGAAAGCUUGCUUUUCUGAAUCUAGUGGCGAACGGGUGAGUAACACGUAGGUAACCUGCCCAUGUGCCCGGGAUAACUUCUGGAAACGGAUGCUAAAACCGGAUAGGUAGCAGACAAGCAUUUGACUGCUAUUAAAGUGGCUAAGGCCAUGAACAUGGAUGGACCUGCGGUGCAUUAGCUAGUUGGUGAGGUAACGGCCCACCAAGGCGACGAUGCAUAGCCGGCCUGAGAGGGCGGACGGCCACAUUGGGACUGGGACACGGCCCAAACUCCUACGGGAGGCAGCAGUAGGGAAUUUUCGUCAAUGGGGGGAACCCUGAACGAGCAAUGCCGCGUGAGUGAGGAAGGUCUUCGGAUCGUAAAGCUCUGUUGUAAGAGAAAAACGACAUUCAUAGGGAAUGAUGAGUGAGUGAUGGUAUCUUACCAGAAAGUCACGGCUAACUACGUGCCAGCCGCCGCGGUAAAAC